rnacentral:rRNA from 1 species
AGUCUGGUGCCAGCACCCGCGGUAAUUCCAGCUCCAAUAGCAUCUAAUUGAGUUGUUGCAGUUAAAACGCUCGUAGUCUGAAUCGGUCGCACUGCCCCGUUGAGUAGGCCUCUUUCGGGUUGGACUGCCCGGCGCAAGCCGGCGGCCUCUCGGGAUUGGAUCCAAAGGCGGGUGUCGGAGGCGACCAUAAUGGCCAGGGACCGGCGUAUCCCGCUCGCCCUCGUGGUUUGAGCGGUGGGGCUACCCCUGGUCGUUUUACUUUGAGGAAAUGUGAGCGCUCCAAGCAGCCCCUUUUGGGGCCUGAAGCCUGCAGCAAAGAAUAAUGCAACACGGCCUAACAACCGUGGUGUAUUGGUGCACCGCACGGCAAUGGUCAAUAGGGGGGAUCGGGGUCGGCCUCAUGGCAGGGGUAGGGGUGAAAUCCGUUGAUCCUUGCCAGGAGAACAAGAGCGAAAGCAGCCGACAAGUACCCUUUCUUUGAUCAAGAACGAAAGUCUGGGGAUCGAAGAUGAUCAGAUACCAUCGUAGUCCAGACCCUAAAUGCUGCCGACCAUGGAUGGGCGCAAGUCCGUCCCGACCCUGCCCGCACCUUGUGAGAAAUCAUCAAGUGUUUGGGCUCCGGGGGGAGUAUGGUCGCAAGACUGAAACUUAAAGGAAUUGACGGAAGAGCACACAAGGAGUGGAGCCUGCGGCCUAAUUUGACAACACGGGGAAACUCACGAGUGCAAGAGAGGGUCAUGAUGCCCGGCACGAAUUGCCCGGCAGAUUCUCUCAGUGGUGGUGCAUGGUCGUUCUUAGUUCGUGGAGUGAUUUGUCUGGUCUAUUCCGCUAACGAGCGAGAACCCGCCUUAUGGAUGUUGCCUGCUUCGUCGCGGGGCUUGCUGCGGCUGGGCUGCUUCUAUUGGUCCCGCAAGGGAUCUCUAAGGGGGCGGACUAGCGGGCAUCCCAAUUAUAGACGAGGUUAGGGUCCUGCAAGGUGCCCCGGCGAUAAGCCGGGGAUCUGGGUCAAUAACAGGUCAGUGAUGCCCUUAGAUGCACUCGGCUGCACGCGCGCUACAAUGGGAGGGCCAACGGGUCUUCAGCCCCUACGCGGGCGCGGAGAAUCCUAGUAACCCCGCCCACAUCCGGGAUCGCAGCAUGUAAUAUGCGGCGUGAACAUGGAAUUUCUAGUAGGCACGGUUCACCAGACCGUGCCGAUUCUGUCCCUGCUCUUUGUACACACCGCCCGUCGCUCCUACCGAUUGGGUUGCGGGGUGAGAUAUGGGGACCCCAAGAACUCUGUUCUGCUGGAGGGCAACCUCCGGUGGGUAACCACUU